rnacentral:rRNA from 1 species
AACGAUGAACCGCUUUCGGGCGGGGAUUAGUGGCGAACGGGUGAGUAACACGUGGGCAAUCUGCCCUGCACUCUGGGACAAGCCCUGGAAACGGGGUCUAAUACCGGAUAUGACCGUCUGCCGCAUGGUGGAUGGUGUAAAGCUCCGGCGGUGCAGGAUGAGCCCGCGGCCUAUCAGCUUGUUGGUGAGGUAGUGGCUCACCAAGGCGACGACGGGUAGCCGGCCUGAGAGGGCGACCGGCCACACUGGGACUGAGACACGGCCCAGACUCCUACGGGAGGCAGCAGUGGGGAAUAUUGCACAAUGGGCGAAAGCCUGAUGCAGCGACGCCGCGUGAGGGAUGACGGCCUUCGGGUUGUAAACCUCUUUCAGCAGGGAAGAAGCGAAAGUGACGGUACCUGCAGAAGAAGCGCCGGCUAACUACGUGCCAGCAGCCGCGGUAAUACGUAGGGCGCAAGCGUUGUCCGGAAUUAUUGGGCGUAAAGAGCUCGUAGGCGGCUUGUCACGUCGGUUGUGAAAGCCCGGGGCUUAACCCCGGGUCUGCAGUCGAUACGGGCAGGCUAGAGUUCGGUAGGGGAGAUCGGAAUUCCUGGUGUAGCGGUGAAAUGCGCAGAUAUCAGGAGGAACACCGGUGGCGAAGGCGGAUCUCUGGGCCGAUACUGACGCUGAGGAGCGAAAGCGUGGGGAGCGAACAGGAUUAGAUACCCUGGUAGUCCACGCCGUAAACGGUGGGCACUAGGUGUGGGCAACAUUCCACGUUGUCCGUGCCGCAGCUAACGCAUUAAGUGCCCC